AUUGAACGCUGGCGGCAGGCCUAACACAUGCAAGUCGAACGAGUGGCGGACGGGUGAGUAAUGUCUGGGAAACUGCCAGAUGGAGGGGGAUAACUACUGGAAACGGUAGCUAAUACCGCAUACCAUCGGAUGUGCCCAGAUGGGAUUAGCUGGUAGGUGGGGUAAAGGCUCCCCUAGGCGACGAUCCAUAGCUGGUCUGAGAGGAUGACCAGCCCACUUGGAACGGAGACCCGGUCCAGACUCCUACGGGAGGCAGCCGGGGGGAAUAUUGCACAAUGGGCGCAAGCCUUAUGCAGCCAUGCCGCGUGUAUGAAGAAGGCCUUCGGGUUGUAAAGUACUUUCAGCGGGGAGGCGUUACCCGCAGAAGAAGCACCGGCUAACUCCGUGCCAGCAGCCGCGGUAAUAC
rnacentral:rRNA from 1 species